UACAGCGAUUGUUUUGCUCGUCGUUAGUGUGAUUUCCCUGGAUCUUUGUGGAGUUAAAUGCUGAUACGUUCCUCCAAAUACGCCUGAUAUCGACAUGGAGUCUGCUGAAAUGUCGCUGAAGGGUUCAUCCUGCCUUCAGAUAGCACAUCAGAAAGGAAACAGAGGGCUGGUUACUGGUUAACUUGGACGAUGGAGCUCUCCUCACGUACGCACAUCCAGCUGCUGGCUGGAGUUUGAACUGCCGUCAUGUGAGACACACCAGGUGCGAGCUGAUGACACAUAAACAUGGAGUCAUGUUGCUGUGUAGGUUCUAAUGUAUCUGAGUUCUUAUGAACCUGAACACGGGGUCCUCCUUCCUCCUUCCUCCUCCUCCUCCCUCUCAUGGUAAACAUCACAUCCAGCACGUCUCACUUGUCUCCCUCACAGGACUUUCCAACAACCAGCCACAAUACGACCGGAAGUCUCACUGCGUGCCUUCAAAAUAAAGGCUUGACUCGCCUUUCAGUCAGAUUGUUGCCUCGUGAGAUCUGUGGUUUAAUUAAUGAAGAGUAGAUGUCUAAUAAAGAGCCAAAUAAUUAUUUUUAUCACCAACUAUUACUUAAAUAAAUGAUUUAGUUUAUUAAAUAUUAUAAAAUAGUUAGAAAUGUCAGUUAUUAUUUGUAGAAUCUAAAGCUAAUGAACUCCAGAGAGGUAAAUAAAAAACAAGUACUGCAGCAGUCCAGAUAUAUGAAUAUAGAGGAGGAGAAUUCACAAAGAAAAUAUUAAUAAAUAUUUAUGAAAGUGUACAUGAAAGAGCUGUACAUUAUGUGCAGUUAUGCGGAAAAUUCUGACCAAUAAUGAAAUCUUCAAAUUGCAUGUUUGUCCCUGUGGAUGGUCCAAAACUCAAAGAUAUUCAGUUGAAUGUGACAUAUAUUUUGGUAUUUUUGCAUCAAUAAUUAAUUGAUUCUCUGCCAAUCAGUAUAUCAGUUAUUUAGUUGCAGCACUAAAUAAGCAACUUGUUAAAAAUGGACAAUGACAGUCGAGACUAUGGGCUCUGAUUUAGCAUGAAAAAUAAAACCACCAUGGUACUGUUGUUCCUGCAGGGCUGUGAUUUAUUCAUUCAUUCAUUUAUUUUUCAUCCUUUUAUUUCAUUAUAACUUUGCACCCCUAAAAAUAGAGUUUUCAUACCGUUACACAUUUAACUUCCACCAACUACUAACACCAUAAUACAUAGUUAUUUAUUUUUUUGUAUUAUUUAACCAGGAAGCGCCACUGAGAUCUAAAAACUAUUUUACAACAGAAACCUGUCCGAGGUAGCGGCCUAUUUAAAACACAUUUAAAAUGCAACAAAUACAACAUAUAAUACAAAAAUCCACAAUAAAACAACGACUAUUCAAACAUGGUGGCCUCUCAAGGAAAACAAGCACACGUCUCUGUCACCACAUUUUUCACGAUGCCCUUAAAAUCAGUGGAUAUAUGGGUUUGUAAUUUUAUGUUUUUGGAGAUUGUUCCAUGCCCAUAUAGUUUUCCCAGAUCUGUUUACAUACAGGGUUCAUUAAAAAGCAACCACCUGGAGGAGCAUAGCUGGAAACUAAAAAUAUAAACAUAUCAGUGCUGCUGUCUGCGAGUGGUCAGUGACGUCCAACCCACCAAAUCAUAAAGAUACAGUGAUGAGUCAGGGACUGUGCAUAUGUGAUACAUAAAAUGGAGGAUGCAUACAUAUAGAAUAUAGAAAAAUAGCUUCCACAAGUUUUUUCUUAGCACUGAAAAUAAAACAAGUCUUAUGUUCAUUAAAUGUUAUAUUGCAAGUCAUUUUUCAACUGCAGUUUUUGUCCCCAAAGGAAACUUUGUCAAAAUGUGUUUUAUCUUCUAAA